rnacentral:rRNA from 1 species
UACAGAGGUCCCAAGCGUUGUUCGGAUUCACUGGGCGUAAAGGGUGCGUAGGUGGUGAGGUAAGUCGGAUGUGAAAUCUCCGAGCUCAACUCGGAAACUGCAUUGGAAACUACCUUGCUCGAGGGUUGGAGGGGGGACUGGAAUGCUUGGUGUAGCAGUGAAAUGCGUAGAUAUCAAGCGGAACACCAGUGGCGAAGGCGAGUCCCUGGACAACUCCUGACACUGAUGCACGAAAGCUAGGGGAGCAACCAGG